rnacentral:rRNA from 1 species
UACAGAGGUCUCAAGCGUUGUUCGGAUUUAUUGGGCGUAAAGGGCGCGUAGGCGGCGCGGCAAGUCGGGUGUGAAAUCUUGGAGCUUAACUUCGAAACUGCAUUCGAUACUGCCGUGCUUGAGGACUGGAGAGGAGACUGGAAUUUACGGUGUAGCGGUGAAAUGCGUAGAUAUCGUAAGGAAGACCAGUGGCGAAGGCGGGUCUCUGGACAGUUCCUGACGCUGAGGCACGAAGGCCAGGGGAGCAAACAGG